rnacentral:rRNA from 1 species
AAUCAACGCUGGCGGCGUGCCUCAGACAUGCAAGUCGAACGAUUAAAGCUCUCUUCGGAGAGUGUAUAGAGUGGCGCACGGGUGAGUAACACGUAAGUAAUCUACCCUCGAGUGGGGAAUAACAACCGGAAACGGUUGCUAAUACCGCAUAAUGCAGCGGCACCGCAAGGUGACAGUUGUUAAAGAUUUAUCGCUUGAGGAGGAGCUUGCGGCAGAUUAGCUAGUUGGUAGGGUAACGGCUUACCAAGGCUACGAUCUGUAACCGGUCUAAGAGGACGGUCGGUCACACUGACACUGAAUAAACGGGUCAGACUCCUACGGGAGGCAGCAGUCGGGAAUUUUGGGCAAUGGGCGAAAGCCUGACCCAGCAACGCCGCGUGAAGGAUGAAGUAUUUCGGUAUGUAAACUUCGAAAGAAUAGGAAGAAUUAAAUGACGGUACUAUUUAUAAGGUACCGGCUAACUACGUGCCAGCAGCCGCGGU